rnacentral:lncRNA from 1 species
UCUUCUUUUUGUUAAGAGCUUUCAAAACAUAAAAGAGAUAUAUGAUAAUCCAAUUAUAGUUAAUACUCUGAAAGCAUGGAGAUCAGUCUGUAUGCUUGAAGGUAGAUCUAAAUUGACUUCUUUCUUUACCCCAAUAUUAAACCAUCCUGAUUUCACCCCAGGAAUUUUGGAUGAUGGGUUUAAACGUUGGUGUAAUUUGGGACUUAUUAGGCUUGGGGAUAUGUUUUCAGAUAAUAAAUUAAUGUCAUUUGUGGAGUUAACUCAGAAGAACCAGUUGUUCAAACACAAUUUUUUUCGAUUCCUCCAAUUGAGACAUUAUAUUACUAAUAACACAACACUUGUUAGAAAUUGUGAGAUAUCUUCUAUUGAGAGGUUAUUAUUUUUAUCAUCGGGAAAAAUGUCUUUGGGUAGAUUUUAUGGUGCUAUGUGUUCAAUUUCUUCUGCAGAUACACAGACAAUUAAAACUAAAUGGGAGGAAGAGUUAGCUACUGAUAUCGAUGAUGAAACAUGGGAUGACAUUUGGUCUUAUGCUAAGAGAAUAUCUGUUUGUCCACAUACAAGAGAAAUACAAUUUAAAAUCAUACAUAAACUCCAUAUUUCUCCUAACCGCAGGCAUUUUUUUAACCCCUCUCUAUCGCCUAUGUGUUUAAAAUGUAAAACUGAAGUAGGUACUUUAACACAUUGUCUGUGGUCAUGUAACAGACUGCAAAGGUAUUGGUUUUUGGUUCUGGGGGAAAUGGAAAAGAUCUUUAAUAUGCAGUUGGAUUUUGACCCAGUCUCAUUGGUAUUGGGUAUACCUAAUAAAUGCAUUGUUUCAUUUGCUAACAAGAAAUUGUAUAAUAUUCUCUCCUUUGCUGCCAGAAAAAAUAUUUUACUUAAUUGGAUUAGUGAUAAAUCUCCAUCACUUAAAGGUUGGCAUAAGAUAAUUUUUGAACUGAUUCCCCUGGAGCGUCUUACCCAUGUAUUACAUAAAAAAACAGGCCUAUUUUAUAAAGUCUGGACUCCAUAUCUGGACUAUAUGGAACCUCAUCUUCGCCCUAUUAUACUACAAGGAAUAUUGUAAUUGUGUAACUGUCUGGACAUUUAACUUUUCUGCCCUAUUCAUUUUUUCCCCUUCUAUAAUCUGUUAUAUAUGGGGUAGUCCUGUUUUAUUUAAUAAUCUGAG